GGAGCGGGCACGCGCCCUUUCGCGGUAACGUUCUCGCGUCCCUGGGUCGUCGGCGGCGCGGCGUGCGCGCGCGUGAGCACACAUGGAACCGGGAAUCGCCAAAGGACAGGACAGAAGUGCUGAGGAAUUUUCACCCCUGAGAGCAGCCUUCAACCAAUGACAAAUGGAAGCUGAAGGAUAUAUACAUAUACCACCUGUGGCAGGCUGGAAAAUGUCCUCUGAAGACAUCAGGCCCUGAAACUAUUGAAUUUUAUGUUGUAGAGCCAAAGCGGCCAUAGAACACUAAUAUACCAACAUUUAUACUAAUAAGUAUACCAAUGUCCUCACUCCUGAGAAGCAGGACAACUCGGAGGCAUCUUCCACAUUGUCUCCAGGAGUCUACAGAAGGGCUGAGCCCCACCUGCAGAGGUAACUUACCCAUCAGCCCACUCUGUUACUGGCCUUCUCUCCCCAGUCUCACUUCCCCACUCUGCUAUCAGUGGUUCCAGGUCUCUCCUUCAAGAUAAACCACAUACUCUCAAAUCCUUGUGUAUUAGUUUCCUGGAGCUGCUGUAACAAAGUACCAUAAAUUGUGUGGCUUAAAACAACAGAAGUUUAUUCUCUCACAGUUCUGGAGGCCAGAAGUUGGAAAUACAGUAAAGGUGUUGGUGCGAUUGGUUCCUCUUCAGGGCUCUGAGGAAAAGUCUCUUCCAUGCAUCUCUCCUAGCUUCUGGUGAUGGCUGACGACCCAUGGCAUUCUUUGGUUUGUAAAUGCGUCACUCCAGUCUCUGCCUCCAUCUUUACAUAGCAUUCUCCCUGUGUCUCUGUGUCUUCACGUGGCCAUCUUCCCCUCAUAUAAGAACACUGGUUAUAUUGGAUCAAGAACCCACUCUGAUGACCAUAUCACAACUUUAAUUACAUGUGCAAAGACCCUAUUUCCAAAUAAGGUCACAUUUAUAGGUACCAGGGAUGCGAAUUUUAAUAUCUUUUAUGGGGCACACAAUUCAACUCAUAACACCUUGACUCAGGGUCAGAUUCGGGGACCCCCAACCUAAGACAAUUAUCACUUAUGAAGCACUUUUUAUAUUUCCCUAAAUAUAAUUAUCUUACUUUAUCCUCAAUAAUCUUAUGAGAUAAAUAUUGGCUCCAUUUUAAAGUUAAUAAAUCUGAGGAUUAGAUACUAUAGUGUAGUCAAGUCAUUGUUGUAUCAGGUGAGAAGUGUAAUAAGAUGCCAGUCCCACCAGUGGGAGUGGUUUUCAGCAA